rnacentral:rRNA from 1 species
GUGGGGAAUUUUGGGCAAUGGGCGCAAGCCUGAUCCAGCAAUGCCGCGUGCAGGAAGAAGGCCUUCGGGUUGUAAACUGCUUUUGUACGGAACGAAACGGUCCUGGCUAAUAUCCGGGGCUAAGGACGGUACCGUAAGAAUAAGCACCGGCUAACUACGUGCCAGCAGCCGCGGUAAUACGUAGGGUGCGAGCGUUAAUCGGAAUUACUGGGCGUAAAGCGUGCGCAGGCGGUGCUGUAAGACAGGCGUGAAAUCCCCGGGCUCAACCUGGGAAUUGCGCUUGUGACUGCAGUGCUGGAGUGCGGCAGAGGGGGAUGGAAUUCCGCGUGUAGCAGUGAAAUGCGUAGAUAUGCGGAGGAACACCGAUGGCGAAGGCAAUCCCCUGGGCCUGCACUGACGCUCAUGCACGAAAGCGUGGGGAGCAAACAGGAUUAGAAACCCCUGUAGUCC